UUUGAUGUAAAUUGAUUUAUGUUUGGAUACACUUGUACAAAAGUGAUUCUUAUGAAUUAUAGUUGUUUAGAUAC
rfam:Medicago truncatula strain A17 unplaced genomic scaffold scaffold0014, whole genome shotgun sequence.